rnacentral:rRNA from 1 species
UACGUAGGGGGCUAGCGUUGUCCGGAAUCAUUGGGCGUAAAGCGCGUGUAGGCGGUCCGGUAAGUCCGCUGUGAAAGUCGGGGGCUCAACCCUCGAAUGCCGGUGGAUACUGUCGGGCUAGAGUGCGGAAGAGGCGAGUGGAAUCCUGGUGUAGCGGUGAAAUGCGCAGAUAUCGGGAGGAACACCGGUGGCGAAGGCGGUUCUCUGGGCCUGUACUGACGCUGAGGAGCGAAAGCGUGGGGAGCGAACAGG